ACGGAAGGCAGCAGUGGGGAAUAUUGGUCAAUGGGGGAAACCCUGAACCAGCAACGCCGCGUGAAGGAAGAAGGCUUUCGGGUUGUAAACUUCUUUUAUCAGGGACGAAGGUUGUGACGGUACCUGAUGAAUAAGCCACGGCUAACUACGUGCCAGCAGCCGCGGUAAUACGUAAGUGGCAAGCGUUAUCCGGAUUUACUGGGUGUAAAGGGCGCGUAGGCGGGAAUGCAAGUCAGAUGUGAAAUCUAGGGGCUUAACCCUCAAACUGCAUUUGAAACUGUGUUUCUUGAGUGUCGGAGAGGUAGAUGGAAUUCCUAGUGUAGCGGUGAAAUGCGUAGAUAUUAGGAGGAACACCAGUGGCGAAGGCGAUCUACUGGACGACAACUGACGUUGAGGCUCGAAAGCGUGGGGAGCAAACAGGAUUAGAUACCCUGGUA
rnacentral:rRNA from 1 species